AACGAACGCUGGCGGCAUGCCUAACACAUGCAAGUCGAACGAAGGCUUCGGCCUUAGUGGCGCACGGGUGCGUAACGCGUGGGAACCUGCCCCUCGGUUCGGAAUAACAGUUAGAAAUGACUGCUAAUACCGGAUGAUGACUUCGGUCCAAAGAUUUAUCGCCGAGGGAUGGGCCCGCGUAGGAUUAGUUAGUUGGUGGGGUAAAGGCCUACCAAGGCGACGAUCCUUAGCUGGUCUGAGAGGAUGAUCAGCCACACUGGGACUGAGACACGGCCCAGACUCCUACGGGAGGCAGCAGUGGGGAAUAUUGGACAAUGGGCGAAAGCCUGAUCCAGCAAUGCCGCGUGAGUGAUGAAGGCCUUAGGGUUGUAAAGCUCUUUUACCAGGGAUGAUAAUGACAGUACCUGGAGAAUAAGCUCCGGCUAACUCCGUG
rnacentral:rRNA from 1 species